rnacentral:rRNA from 1 species
CCUACGGGGGGCAGCAGUGAGGAAUAUUGGUCAAUGGACGGAAGCCUGAACCAGCCAAGUAGCGUGCAGGAUGACGGCCUACGGGUUGUAAACUUCUUUUAUACGGGAAUAACGCGCCUUACGUGUAGGGCUUUUCAUGUACCGUUUGAAUUAAGACCGGCUAAUUCCGUUCCAGCAGCCGCGGUAAUACGGAAGGUCCGGACGUUAUCCGGAUUUAUUGGGUUUAAAGGGAGCGUAGGCCGGAUGUCAAGCGUGCUGUGAAAUGUCCGGGCUCAACCCGGGCCUUGCAGCGCGAACUGGCGGGCUUGAGUGCGCGGAAAGCAGGCGGAAUUCGUGGUGUAGCGGUGAAAUGCUUAGAUAUGACGAAGAACCCCGAUUGCGAAGGCAGCUUGCUGCAGCGGAACUGACGCUGAUGCUCGAAAGCGCGGGUAUCGAACAGGAUUAGAUACCCGAGUAGUC